rnacentral:rRNA from 1 species
AAUCAACGCUGGCGGCGUGCCUCAGACAUGCAAGUCGAACGAUUAAGACUUCCUUCGGGAAGUGUAUAAAGUGGCGCACGGGUGAGUAACACGUGGGUAACAUGCCUUAUAGAGGGGGAUAGCCUUCCGAAAGGAAGAUUACUACUGCAUAAUCUUUUUGUUUCGCAUGAAAUGAAAAUCAAAGGAGCAAUCCGCCAUGGGGUGGACCCGCGGAGCAUUAGAUAGUUGGUGAGGUAACGGCUCACCAGGGCGACGAUGCGUAGCCGACCUGAGAGUGGGAUCGGCCACAUUGGAACUGAGAUACGGUCCAAACUCCUGCGGGAGUCAGCAGUGGGGAAGAUUGCACAAUGGGGGAAACCCUAAUGCAGAAACGCCGCGUGAGUGAUGAAGGCCUUCGGGUUGUAAAGCUCUGUCUUGGGGGACGAUAAUGACGGUACCCGAGGAGGAAGCCACGGCUAACUACGUGCCAGCAGCCGCCGUAACAC